CUUCCAGUAGUAGCACCUUAGAGAUCAACUAAGUUUGUUAUUGGUAUGAGCUUUCGUGUGCAUGCACACUUCUUCAGAUACUCAUACCAAUAACAAACUUAGUUGGUCUCUAAGGUGCUACUGGAAG